rnacentral:rRNA from 1 species
CCCUUAGAUGUUCUGGGCCGCACGCGCGCUACACUGAUGCAUUCAACGAGUCUAAAACCUGGUCUGAUAGGGCUGGGUAAUCUUUUGAAAGUGCAUCGUGAUUGGGAUAGAUGAUUGCAAUUCUUCAUCUUCAACGAGGAAUGCCUAGUAAACGCAAGUCGUCAGCUUGCAUUGAUUACGUCCCUGCCCUUUGUACACACCGCCCGUCGCUCCUACCGAUUGAAUGAUCCGAUGAAUACCAUGGAUUGAGAGUACGAAUGGGUUCGCUCAUUUCUGCUGCUCGAGAAGUGGAGUAAAUCUUAUCAUUUAGAGGAAGGAGAAGUCGUAACA